ACUGCUAAUACCGCAUAAGACCACAGUACCGCAUGGUACAGUGAUCAAAGGAUUUAUUCGCUGAAGGAUGGCUCGCGUCCGAUUAGGUAGUUGGUGAGGUAACGGCCCACCAAGCCUACGAUCGGUAGCCGGACUGAGAGGUUGAUCGGCCACAUUGGGACUGAGACACGGCCCAGACUCCUACGGGAGGCAGCAUG
rnacentral:rRNA from 1 species